AUGCGGCCCCCUGAGGCCAUUUAUCCGGCCCCCCGCCGCACUUCAGGAAGGGGCACCUCUUUCACUGGUGGAGAUUCCCAGCGGAGGAGCCCCACGGGUCGCCAGCGCGACUCUUGUGACCGGCGAGGCGGUUUUGUCGGCACCUCGGAGCGGUGGUUCUUGGUGCAGAGUCAGAAAAGCACCAUCAAUCUUAACGCCGCUGAUUUAGUCGGCACAGGAAAGAGGAGAGGCACUGGAUACAUGUUCUCUAGGCCUUUUAGAAAACAUGGAGCUGUUCCUUUGGCCACGUAUAUGCGAAUCUAUAAGAAAGGUGCUAUUGUAGACAUCAAGGGAAUGGGUACUGUUCAAAAAGGAAUGCCCCACAAAUGUUAUCAUGGCAAAACUGGAAGCGUCUACAAUGUUACCCAGCAUGCUGUUGGCAUUGUUGUAAACAAACAAGUUAAGGGCAAGAUUCUUGCCAAGAGAAUUAAUGUGCGUAUUGAGCACAUCAAGCACUCUAAGAGCCGAGAUAGCUUCCUAAAACGUGUGAAGGAAAAUGAUCAGAAAAAGAAAGAAGCCAAAGAGAAAGGUACCUGGGUCCAACUGAAGCGCCAGCCUGUUCCACCCAGAGAAGCACACUUUGUGAGAACCAAGGGGAAGGAGCCUGAGCUGCUGGAACCUAUUCCCUGAAUUCAUGGCAUAA